GUUGGUGGAUAUAAUUGUACUUAAUGUGUAUUGUGAAUUUAAAAUAAAUUCAAUUAUUAGAUCAAAGUAUAUAAAUUUUUUUGUGGAAUGAGGUCUCAAAAAUUGGAAUUUUAGAGUUUGUAACUACUUUUGAGAUCUUUAGCAAUUUGUUGAUUGAAUUGAAAUGAAUUUUUUUUUAUAUAAAGACUAGACUUGAUUUUAAAUAGUUUAAGUAAAUUUGGAAGAAAAUCAAUGGUUCAAAUAAGAGGUAUUGGUACUCGAAGUUUAAC
rnacentral:lncRNA from 1 species